rnacentral:rRNA from 1 species
CUACGGGAGGCACCAGUGAGGAAUUUUGCGCAAUGGGGGAAACCCUGACGCAGCAACGCCGCGUGAGUGAUGAAGGCCUUCGGGUCGUAAAGCUCUGUCAAGUGGGAAGAACCUAUUCAAGGGUAAUAUUCUUGGGUACUGACGGUACCACUGAAGGAAGCACCGGCUAACUCCGUGCCAGCAGCCGCGGUAAUACGGGGGGUGCAAGCGUUAUUCGGAAUUAUUGGGCGUAAAGGGCGCGUAGGCGGUUUUGUUAGUCAGAUGUGAAAGCCCGGGGCUCAACCCCGGAAGUGCAUUUGAUACUGCAAGACUUGAGUAUGGGAGAGGGAAGUGGAACUCCUGGUGUAGAGGUGAAAUUCGUAGAUAUCAGGAGGAACAUCUGUGGCGAAGGCGACUUCCUGGACCAAUACUGACGCUGAGGCGCGAAGGCGUGGGUAGCAAACAGGAUUAGAUACCCUCGUAGUC